rnacentral:lncRNA from 1 species
GGAUCAACAACUAGCUACAUAAGAUUGGCUAUGGAAAUAUUAAUAAUUCCAAAAGAAAAAGAAAAUUAAAAAAAAAUCAGUAGAGGCAUGAUAUGAGGCUAACCUCACAAGAAGAACACGGUUAGAUAAGAAUUCCUCUUAAUUCAUGCAAGCUUAAAAUCAUCUAACCUAACCAAAAUCAUCCAUCUUAAAAUAUUAAAAUAUCUAACAGAACUCUUUGAACGGGUUAGAAAACCUCCCACUGGCCAUCAAUUCAUUCUUAUCCACUAUUACAAAACUUGUUUUUCAGCAAAGAAAAGAAAGUCUAAUUAGCUUCCAUUUCAACAUGUAAGGUAGACUACAAAAUUAAACAAAAAAAAAUGGUUCACAAUAGAUUCAAAUUUCAAAAGAAGAAAAACCAAUAAAUAAAUAAAACACAAGAGAGAAGAACUAACCGCGCAAAAAAUCUCCCUAAAAAUGACGAGCUUAUAAGAAACAGAGCAUGUAAACUAAAACCCAACCACAAUCACAACACAAAAAAGCACAAAAAUAAAAGAAAAAAUUAAAACAAAACAAAAUCAUGAUCAUUCUUCUUUAACCAGC